rnacentral:lncRNA from 10 species
GUGCUUUCUGGGGUCCUUCAGCAGCAGUGCAAUGAGGAGCAUGCACAGGAGAGAUUCUAUUUUCCUUGGAUGGCUUUCUUGAGCCUUGGAAAUCUGGCUCACCAGGAAUUCUAGGCUUCUGUUGUCCCUUGCUUCCUAUCUACCAAAAGCACAAUGAUGCCUUUCUUUUUACUCACAUUUGAUGACAUCCAUAGUGAGAAACAGCAGUUCCACUGUCCAACACCAGGAAAUGUUCUGACUGUUUCACCGCUCCAGCUAAUACUUACAGAGGUGUGGCCUAUUCCCACUUGUAUUGGGGGCUUUAGAAUCUGACUCCUUACAUUCCUAAGAUUAAAAGACAUCUUGUGCUGUUUUAUGUUCUGAGAAGGAUUGAUUACCACAAAGACAGAUCUAUAGAGAAUGUGAGUGGAAACUAUACGAGCUGCUAACGGGACAAGGCAUUUAAGAAUCAUCCGAGUUCUGCUCUUCUUGCUGGCUGGAGCUAAGAAUUCAAGAACAAACACCAGCAAAGAGAUUCAAUACAAAUAUCCAAUUUUGAGAUAAGGGAUGGAUAACCAUAGUGUGAGUUGAGCCACAGAAAUGUGGAUGAAUUCAAUAAAUAUUUGGAUGAUUGUUUAACAUUACUUCAUAAUUGAUGGGAAUAAAAAAGUAUAACAAAGAGAAGAAAUCAAGGCUGCAGCAUGACAAAAGGCAUGCCCUCAGAACUUUUAAUCUUUAUGAAACAUUUGAAGACCUCGAGAAAGGACAAUACCCUUGGUUCUAUACAGAUGCUGUCAUGAAUUCAUCUUAUAUCAGUUUCAUAAAUCUGAGAAAACAAACUAGAGAGAAGGCAACACAUAUUUCAUUUUAGCUGUGAGCAACUUCCAUUGUGAAUCAAGGAUUCAUUCAAAAUACAUCUGGUAUGAGGUUUUGCUUUUCACAGAAUGGCAACAUCUAACCUCAUCACACAGAAUCCAUGUAGUCAAAUACCAUUGAGGAUAGUUGUGUGGUCACUAUGUUGUAAUAUCAGACAAAGAUGACAGUGAAUCUGCAAAAGAAGAAAGCAUUCUGAGAACCACUGAUUCCAGAGCAGGUGAAGGUA